UUGAGUUUCAGAGGGGAGAGUUGUUGUUUGUUGUGGUGGAAGUGAAGUUUGGAGUGGUGAGGUUACUUCAGAUUGUGUUAGAGUUUGUUGUUGAGAGGCAAGUCUAUGAGCAUAUAGAGUGGCUAUUGUUGGGGAGUCAGGAUCAGAAGGUUCAGGGUCAGAGGAAACAGUAACAUAAGGUGGUGAUUCUGGUAUAGAGGAUGAUGAAGAAGAAGAAGUGCUUUGGUGAGUUUGUGCAGGUAUAG
rnacentral:lncRNA from 1 species